rnacentral:rRNA from 1 species
UAUUGCACAAUGGGGGAAACCCUGAUGCAGCGACGCCGCGUGAGUGAAGAAGUAUUUCGGUAUGUAAAGCUCUAUCAGCAGGGAAGAAAAUGACGGUACCUGAUUAAGAAGCCCCGGCUAACUACGUGCCAGCAGCCGCGGUAAUACGUAGGGGGCAAGCGUUAUCCGGAUUUACUGGGUGUAAAGGGAGCGUAGACGGUGAUGCAAGUAAGAAGUGAAAGCCCGGGGCUGAACUCCGGGACUGCUUUGGAAACUGCCUGGCUGGAGUACAGGAGAGGUAAGUGGAAUUCCUAGUGUAGCGGUGAAAUGCGUAGAUAUUAGGAGGAGCACCAGUGGCGAAGGCGGCUUACUGGACUGUAACUGACGUUGAGGCUCGAAAGCGUGGGGAGCAAACAGG